rnacentral:rRNA from 1 species
GGACAACCCGCUAGACUUAAGCAUAUCA